UACGUAGGGGGCGAGCGUUGUCCGAAUUCACUGGGCGUAAAGCGCGCGUAGGCGGGCUUCUAAGUUGUGGGUGAAAUCCCGAGGCUUAACCUCGGAGCUGCCUGCAAAACUGGGAGCCUUGAGGUAUGGAAAGGGAAGUGGAAUUCCAGGUGUAGCGGUGAAAUGCGUAGAUAUCUGGAGGAACACCCGUGGCGAAGGCGGCUUCCUGGCCAUAUCCUGACGCUGAGGUGCGAAAGCUAGGGGAGCGAACGGGAUUAGAUACCCCGGUAGUCCUAGCCGUAAACGAUGGAUACUAGGUGUUAGAGGUAUCGACCCCUCUAGUGCCGGAGCUAACGCAUUAAGUAUCCCGCCUGGGGAGUACGACCGCAAGGUUGAA
rnacentral:rRNA from 1 species